rnacentral:rRNA from 1 species
AUGGCGCCAUUGGCAGCACCGGCCAUGGGCGGCAGAACAGCAGCAUCGCAUGCACUCCCCAAAAAACAGUCGCUCGUAGCAAACCAUCAUGCAAGGCUCCGCCGUGGCCACUCCACAUCUACUAGGCUCACCGGCUCAGUUCAGAGAAAAAUGUGCGUCGCGGCGGCGGUCAUGGUGGUCGCGAGGGCAGGGGAUGGAGCAGUAGCUCCCGGCCGUGGCCGAGGCCGUCGAGGAUCUGGCGCGCGGGAUGGAGGCCGACGGCGGCGAGCUCCGCCUCACGCCCUUCAUGUGCUCCUCGCCGUCCGGUAA